AUGGCUGCACCCGCGCUGGCCAAGCGCCCCUGCAGCAGCCCCUCCUCCUCCGCUUCUUGCCGCGAGGCCAAGCGGCUCCGCCCGGCGGCGGCGCCGGUGGCCAUGGAGAGGCACGACGCCGCUGCCGCUGCUGAGGUGUCGACGACGACGUCGCAGUCGCAGUCGCAGCCGCUGCUCCCGGGCCUGCCGGACCACCUCGCGCAGCUCUGCCUCUCGACGCUCCCGCCGAGCCUCAUGCACGCCGUCUGCCGCCCGUGGCGCCGGCUGCUGUACGCGCCGUCGUUCCCGCCGUUCUUGUCCCUGUACGCGCUCCUCGAGGACGCCGGCGACGGCGGCGCGUCCUUCGCGGCCUACGACCCGAUCGCCGCGCGGUGGGACUGUCUGCCGGCGCCGCCGAUGCCGUCGCCGCCCCCGACCCUCUGCCACCCGUCGUUUCUCUCCCGCCGGCUGCCGCUCCAGUCCGUGGCCGCGGCGGGGCAGCUCGUCCUCGUCGCAGGGUCCACGCAGUCGCUCCACCCGGCGCUGUGCCGUCCGCUCGUCUUCGACCCGACCGCCGCGCCCGCGCCGCGAUGGCAGGUCGGCCCGCGGGUCCCGCUCGCCCCGCGCAGGUGGUGCGCGGCGGGGGCGGCGAGGGGGCGCGUGUUCGUCGCGGGCGGCGUGGGCGCCGGGUACGACCUCGCCGUCGCGCGCUCCGGGGCGACAUGGGACCCCGCCACGCCGUCUGCGCCGUGGGAGCCGCUCCCGCCGCUGCGGGACGGGCGGUUCAGCCGUGACGCGGCCGAGGCCGUGUGCUCGGGCGGGAAGGUCUGCAUGGUCAACCUCCGCGGCAGCGGCGCCAAGGAGGGCGCGGUGUUCGACCUCGUGGCCGGGCGGUGGGAGGACAUGCCGCCCGGCAUGCUGGCCGGGUGGAAGGGCCCCGCCGCGGCGUCCCCGGACAGCGGCGACACGAUCUUCGUCGUGGACGAGGAGCGCGGCGCGCUCAACACCUACGACUGGGGAUCCGACCGGUGGACAACGGUCACGGAGGCGGAGCGGCUCAAGGGCGCGGCAGAGAUGGCAGCCGGCGGCGGCAGGGUGUGCGUCGUGUCCCACGGCGGCGCGAAGGUGGUGGUCGUGGACGUGACGCCCAAGGCGAGGACGAGGGGCUCCACGACGGCGCCGCCGCGCAUGUGGGAGGUGGAGGCGCCGGCCGGGCGGUGGGUGGUCUCGCUGCACGUGCUGCCCAGGAUGACGCGCCCCGAGUAG
rnacentral:rRNA from 1 species